UGAGGACUUAGCUCAGUUGGUAGAGUGCUUGCCUUGUAUGCACAAGGCCCUGGGUUCAAUCCCAGCACCUCAA
rnacentral:tRNA from 1 species